CCAGCUUUUACAUACGAAUAUCCGAGACCUGCAUAUCCGGGAUAAGGGAUCCAACCAGAUAUUAAAACUACGAAUCCGCCGGAUACGGAUACGGGUCCGGAUAUCCGGCUCCGCCCCAGCCCUACGUGUUGAGAUAUUAGCGAGAACAAAGACACGUCAUCCAACGUAUUUGUUUUUUUUUAUCGUCUUUUAGAUUUAUUAAGUAUUGCAGAUUAUGAGAAUUGUUACAAAGAUAGAUCUACCAUGGACAAUUCCUUCCGUCCCUCACUGGAGAUCUUCUGUAAACUUAUCUUCAUUAAUCUGCAGAAAUAUUAAUAAAUCGCGCUCUCUGGGGCUCGAACCCCAGACUUCCUGGUGUAGAAGCAUUACUAAACCCUUGAUCAACACCGUUGGACCAAGGAGGCUUCUACCGUCAUCCAAG
rnacentral:lncRNA from 1 species